UCGUUCUUUGAAUGCUGGUUUGAAGC
rnacentral:piRNA from 1 species